CCUGGAGCGAUACAUGGUAGUUAGUUGCUAACGUGUCAGAGUGCAGCAGUUUCGGGGUGCUGUUUGUAGCGCAAGGUAUGUCCAAACAAUCAGUGUUGUAUGACGAAUUAUUAUUAUUAGGGUUCAGUUUACUGAGCGAGAUCUUAGCGUUUUGAUGGGUUAAGGGGCUGAGUGUUUGCCAACGGCGCUAUUGUUUGUGUGGGUGCACACUUCCGAAACGACACGUUUGGAAUGCCUAGCCUGACGAGCACAGAUGAGUGCUCCGUGACCCUGGGGAGAUUGUGAAGUGCAGGAACACUGUCUGCUCACCCAAUCGCUAGAUUGUAGGCAGGUUCAGAUGCUUCAAUCUUCUUCUGCUGCUGGUUUGUCUGGUUUAUCACAGCGGAAACACCUCUAAACCUGUGUCAGGAGAAAAGAGAGGAAACGUCAUCUUGCCAUGUCAAUAUGAGGACAGUAAUAUUGGUCACAUUGAUUUAUUCAGUGAGGUAGAAAAAAUAGAUGUGUGUGAGACUGAAGAAUGUAGUGGACGAGUGUUUAAAGAAGGAAACUGUGACGUCGUCAUCAAGAAUCUGAUCUUCAGUGACGCUGGGAAAUACACUUUGAGAAUCUAUUACAAUAAUGAUCAAACAGAGCUGAAGUACCAACUUCAUAUUCAUGAUGAGAUUUCUGUGAAAACAGGCGAGGAGCUAAAGAUGUCUGUUCUGGUGUCUGAUGCUGAUAAAGUGAAGACAAACUCUAGUGGAGAGUGGAAGGAGGUUUGGACGAGAGAUCACGGGGUUCAGAGCGACCGAAUGAAUGAUGAUGAUGAUGGAAACCUGAUCAUUAAAUCAUUUCUGGACAGUGAUGCAGGAACAUACAGAGUUCUGGACACUGAAGGAGAAACCUUGAUCACAGUCACAGUCACAGAAUCACCGGAAAAACUGGACGACACUGAGCAACAACGGAACUGGAUUGUGUCAGUUGUCGUGUGUUUGGUGAUUCUGGCUGUUAUUGUGAUUGUGAUUUCUGUCUUCAUAUGGAGACGUCAGCACAGAGAUCACACACAGGUUCAGGAGAAUACAGAGAACACACAGGAACUGGAGAAACUAUAGACCCCUUUUGCGCGGACGUCAGAGGGCACAUUUCAACGUUUAAUGGAGUGUAUGUUCGGAGGCCAGCGGUAUCAUUCUGUGUUGCUUUAUCUGGAUGAUGUAAUCUGUUAGUCAACAUCUGGAGAGGUUGGAAAAGGUGUUCUCCCGACUCCAACAACAAGAGUUAGAAGUUAAGUUAUCCAAGUGUCAUUUUUUUUCUUUCAAAAACAGGUCAAGUACUUGGGACAUGUGGUGUCUGCUGAGGGAUUGGCUACUGAUCCUGGUAAGUUGGAGGCUGUACGGGAGUGGAUGCGUCUGGUGCAUUUAGCAGAAUUAAGAAUUAAGAUCGUUUCUUGGGUUUGAAGGGUACUACCAUCAUUUUGUUUAGGGUUUUGUUUCACUGGCUGCCCCUUUGCAUCAAUUGGUGAGUAGGCUGAGUGGACCUAAAAGGAAGGGUAAGAUGCCUCAGGUCCCAUUAGGAUCAGUAUGGAAUGAGACCUGUGAGCAUGCCUUUGAGUCCAUUAAACAUCGUUUGAUUAUGGCUCCAGUCUUGGCCUAUGCGGAGUUCACCAAGCAUUUUGUAUUGGUAGAUACCAGUCACAGAGGGCUGGGAGCCGUACUUUCUCAGGAGCAUGAUGUUAAACUCAGAAAGAGAGUGGAGCAGUGGUGUCAACAAUGUGAAAGAUGUAUUUUAAGUAAGGCAGUUCAACCAAAGAUUCGGUCUUUUCAGGGUACAAUUCAACCCUCCCUCCCUCAUGAGAUCCUGGCUAUAGAUUUCACAAUUUUAGAGCCAGCCAGUGACUGCCAUGAAAAUAUUCUUGUUUUUACAGAUGUUUUUUCAAAGUAUUAUUCAGGCUGUGGCUACUAGAGCCCAAAGAGCUAGUACAGUGGCCCAGAUGUUGGUACAACAUUGGUCCCAUCGUUUCAGACCUCCAAGUCGAAUUCAUUCUGAUGAAGGGAGAAAGUUUUAGAGUAUGGUGGUUCAGCAGUUAUGUAAAAUCUAUGGGGUAAAAAAAAAAGUAGAACCACUCCCUACAACCCCCAGGGAAACUAUUUAAUCGUACCCUGCAUGACCUUUUGAGAACGUUGCUACAAGAACAAAAAAAGUAUUGGCCUCGACAUCUCUCACAAGUUACUUAUGCUUAUAAUUCCACUGCCCAUCAUGUUGCCUUUAUGACUCCUUAUUAUUUGAUGUUUGGGUGUGAUCCCAGACUCGCAGUGGAUUUUUUUUGUUGGGAAGGAGCGAAGAGGUUAGUUUUAGUCCCACAGAGGAUUGGGUGCAGGACCAUCAAGAAAGUUUGAGAGUAGCCCAUGAUGAUGUGAAGCAGCAAGUGCAGGCUAAAGUAGAGAAGCGGAACCAAUGAUAUAAUGAGAAAGUAAAUGAUACAGGUUCAGAAGAGGGGCAGCUUGUGCACUUGAGGAAUCAUGUAAAGGGGAGAAACAAAAUUCAGGAUUUUUGGGAUCCUGGCCUUUAUAGGGUCAUUCGAGGUCCCUCUGGGCAGUCUACGCAGUGACGCCGGUAUCUGGAGACGUUCCAGUCAGAACCGUACAUCGGGAUGAGUUAAGGAAGGCUAUAGGUAGACCAAGUAUUGAAAUGCCUGACUCUCCAAUGGUAUUGGAUCCGGAGGGCUCCGUCUCUGGCUCGUCGUUUGAAUAGGAGACUGCUGGGGAGUCUUGGGUGUUUCUCUUUGAGGGUAGUUUAGACCAUCUUGUCCAGUCAGAUGAGUUGAUGCCUUCUCCUCCUGGCUCUAAUGAGGCCAGGGAAUGUUGGUAGGUAGGGGCAUUGCAAAGUUCUGUUCCUCUGCGAUGGUCUGCUAAGGUUUCGGCUGGCCAUCAUUCCAACCCUAACAGAUUGCCAUGUCCUCUGGUUGUAGGGCAGCCAAAUAUUGGUGAAGAACAGUAGGAUUUCGUUUUUUUGUCCUUGGGGCAAAGACCAAAAUUGUAGGGGGAAGACUGUAGCAAGGUAAGCAGGAGAAGGGGAGGGGUGAUUGGGGAGCAACCACCAAUCCCAUUGCAGAUUGCUGAUAGGGUUGCCAAAUUUAAAGGACAGGCAAUAUGGAAAGGCAGCCAAGGUCCUUGUAGCACCAGUUAUCCAUUUGGCUAGUAGCCGUGUGAGGCUGGGUGUCCUGUGGUGUAGCUCUUUCUCUCAAUUGAAGGUAAGCCUGUAUUUUGUGGUGUACUAUUACAAGGGAUGUUUUUAUUGUACUGAUGCAGUUACCAGCACCAGUAUAGAUUUAAUUAUUGUUUUUAAUUGAGGGUAUUUGAAUCCAUUAAUGCAUCAUGGGAGUAUAAGUUUGUAAUGAUAGUUAUAUGGUUAUUGUAUUACAUUUUAGAACUGUUUGCCUCUGGUUUGUAGUGAAGGGUGUAUGGGGGUUUGCUGAGGUUUUCCCAGAAUUCAGUGAAGUGUUUCCUGUAUAGGUAGUUCAGGUUUCUUGGUAUUCCUAGUUGGACAAUUUAAGAAACUGUACCCCCUGUCAGCUGAAUCAGUUCAUGUCCUGAAUAAUUUUAUGGUAUUGUUUAAUAAAGAACUACAACUUUAUUUCUACGACUUACUGUCUUUGGUGAUAGAUCUGAUAGAUUUUUUUUUUUUCUGUUUUAUUUGGCCCUUGAGGGUGUUACAUAUGAUUGAAGGCCCUAUGAUAUCCGUGAUACAGAAAAUGCGGACGGGAUCAGCUGUGAUUUCAGCGUCUGCUGUUUCACUCAAUGAGGAUGAAAACACAUGAACAACAUCUCCAGAACUGUUCUAAGAGUCACUUCAUGAGCAUUUGACCGUUUGAUUUGAG